ACUCCCACAGCAUGAUCUCGCCCGCGGCGAUCCGCGUGGAUCUGCGCUGCGCGCCGCCCGGGCGGCUGGAGACCGAG
rnacentral:tRNA from 1 species